CUCAGUCCUAAGAAGAAGGAAAAUAGAAACUGCUUCCAAGAGAACUGCAGAGACUUUUGGAGUCCCUUGGAAUCAAGACUAACUCAAAGUGAGACUCCUUCGUUUUAGAAUUUAAGCAGUUCCUGCAUUUGAUCACCUGGGAGCACUGUUCCCUUUCAAAAUACGCUUUCUUGCAAAAAGACCAGAAACUGGGCAAAUUAUAAAGUCAAGGACAAAAUGCCCUGCACCUGGAAGGCUGAGUUUGGGAGGCAUCUCCAAUUGGGACGAUGUUUGAUUGGACCAUGUGAUGGACUUGUGGGUAUUGGGCAGGACUUGAUUUUUUCUUUGGAUGGGGAAAAUCUGGAACCUUUCAGAUUCGGGUUUUCCCAGAUGUGCCAAUACGACAUCUCUAAUAAAAUGUAGCUUU